AUCCCCCCACUCGAUGAUCAUUGUUCAUACGUUCCUGUUGGACCGGACACUCCGUGCGACGUUCUAGAACGAUACGGAACUACGGAAGGCGUCUCACGUCUCACUCGUGCACGAUAAAAUUAACUGGCGAAGGAUCGAUUCGAAGAAAUCCUCAAGCAAACUAACUAUCGACAAGCACGAGUCGCAUACAGUGUCAUCGAUUGAGAUGGCAAUGGAUGCAGAUGGACAGAAAAAGAGGGAUAAAAAGAAAAGGGAAGGAAAAGGAUAGAGAAAGAGAAAAAAAAGUUGCUAUAAUACAGAUGCAGACCUUACCUCAGGAUUUAUCCUCGCAUAUUUUGGUUCUUUGUAAGUCUACCAGUCAUCAAUUUAGUUUGUAUAUGGUAUUGAAACCAAAGCACUUUGACUUACUUGGAGCUUGUCUAGUAGUAGAUAUAUAUUUAAAGUACAAAAUACUCUUACAGAAAACAAAAAAAUUUUUACAUUCAGAAAUAUUUUUAAACUUUUUAUAAAUUUGUAAGAAAUAUAUAAGUACAUUGUAAGACAUUCGCAUUGUGAUAAUAAUUUUAUCAAUAUUUCUAGACUUUAGCUUUUCUUGAUCCUGAACAGUAUAACUAGGCAAAAGAAAUCAAUCAGUAAUUGACAGAAAAUUGUAAGACUAAUACAUUUUUUGUUUAUCAACAUAUUAAUUGAUUGCAAAAUUCAUGUAUUAUGUACAACAUUGCGAGACUUCAUAUAUGUACACAUUUUCCUCAUACAUUUCUAAAAUGUUUUAUGCUGUUUAGGAUUGAUAUAAUGAAACCGAAGGAUCUCACAAUUAUAAUAUACCAAGAAUGUGAUAUUAUUAAUUUUUACCGAAUUUACUUGUAAGUAAUAAAAAACUGUGAUGCAGAUAAGAGGAGGAAGUUGCCGAGAGUGUAAAAUAAAUACAUUUUUAUGGCACACACAUAACAUCCUAGAAAAUACCUCUCAUUGCGAGCAGGGGAUAUUGGCUGUUCACAUAAAGACGACGUCGUCGUCGGCAGCGGCGGCUUAGAAAAUGUACUUAGGUUGCCAUAAGAGAGAGAAAAUGGGCUCUAGAGAAGUAAAAUAUAUUUA